rnacentral:rRNA from 1 species
GAUCCAGAGUACCACGGGACACGUGAAACCCUGUGGGAAGCAGGAGGGACCACCCUCCAAGGCUAAAUACUACCUAGUGACCGAUAGCGUAUAGUACCGUGAGGGAAAGGUGAAAAGAACCCCGGGAGGGGAGUGAAAUAGAACCUGAAACCCUGCACUUACAAGCUGUGGAAGCACAUUUCUUGUGUGACCGCGUACUUUUUGUAGAACGGGCCAACGAGUUACGUUAAGUAGCAAGGUUAAGCACUUAAGGUGCGGAGCCGUAGCGAAAGCGAGUUUUAACUGAGCGUUCAGUUACUUGACGUAGACCCGAAACCGGGCGACCUACCCAUGAGCAGGAUGAAGCGAAAGUAAAAUUUCGUGGAGGUCCGAACCCACGAGCGUUGAAAAGCUCGGGGAUGACUUGUGGGUAGCGGUGAAAUUCCAAUCGAGCCCGGAGAUAGCUGGUUCUCCCCGAAAUAGCUUUAGGGCUAGCCUCAAGGUGAGAGAUACGGAGGUAGAGCACUGAAUGUCCUAGGGGGUAUUGCACCUACCGAAGACUAUCAAACUCCGAAUGCCGUCAUCUUAUACUUGGGAGUCAGACUGUGGGUGAUAAGAUUCAUAGUCGAAAGGGCAACAGCCCAGAUCGUCAGCUAAGGUCCCUAAAUGUAAGUUAAGUGGUAAAGGAUGUGGGAUUGCACAGACAACCAGGAUGUUGGCUUAGAAGCAGCCACUCAUUCAAAGAGUGCGUAAUAGCUCACUGGUCGAGUGAUCCUGCGCCGAAGAUUUCCGGGGCUAAAACUU